GGUUUCCGUAGGUGAACCUGCGGAAGGAUCAUUAUUGAAAUAAACCUGAUAAGUUGCUGCUGGUUCUCUAGAGAGCAUGUGCACACUUGUCAUCUUUGUAUCUUCACCUGUGAACCUUUUGUAGACCUGAGCAUCUCUCUGAAUGACUUAUUAUCAUUCAGGAUUGAGGAUUGACCUUUGUUUUGGUCUCUUCUUAUGUUUUCAGGUCUAUGUUUUUUCAUAUAACCUCAUGUAUGUUUAUAGAAUGUAAUCAAUGGGCCCUUGUGCCUAUAAAUCUAUUACAACUUUCAGCAACGGAUCUCUUGGCUCUCGCAUCGAUGAAGAACGCAGCGAAAUGCGAUAAGUAAUGUGAAUUGCAGAAUUCAGUGAAUCAUCGAAUCUUUGAACGCACCUUGCGCUCCUUGGUAUUCCGAGGAGCAUGCCUGUUUGAGUGUCAUUAAUAUAUAUCAACCUUUUUGGUUGGAUGUGGGUUUGCUGGCCUUUUUUAGGUCAGCUCCUCUUAAAUACAUUAGCGGACAACAUUUUGCCAACCGUUUAUUGGUGUGAUAAUUAUCUACGCUCUUGACGUGAAGCAAGGUUCAGCUUAUAACAGUCCAUUGACUUGGACAGAUUUUAUUUAUUAAUGUGACCUCAAAUCAGGUAGGACUACCCGCUGAACUUAAGCAUAUCAAUAAGCGGAGGAAAAGAAACUAACAAGGAUUCCCCUAGUAACUGCGAGUGAAGCGGGAAAAGCUCAAAUUUAAAAUCUGGCAGUCUUUGGCUGUCCGAGUUGUAAUCUAGAGAAGCAUUAUCCGCGCUGGACCGUGUACAAGUCUCCUGGAAUGGAGCGUCAUAGAGGGUGAGAAUCCCGUCUUUGACACGGACUACCAGGGCUUUUGUGAUGUGCUCUCAAAGAGUCGAGUUGUUUGGGAAUGCAGCUCAAAAUGGGUGGUAAAUUCCAUCUAAAGCUAAAUAUUGGCGAGAGACCGAUAGCGAACAAGUACCGUGAGGGAAAGAUGAAAAGAACUUUGGAAAGAGAGUUAAACAGUACGUGAAAUUGCUGAAAGGGAAACGCUUGAAGUCAGUCGCGUUGUCCAGGGAUCAACUCUUGCUUUUGCUUGGUGUAUUUUCUGGUUAACGGGUCAGCAUCAAUUUUGACUAUUGGAAAAAGAUCAAGGGAAUGUGGCAUCUUUAGAUGUGUUAUAGCCCUUGGUUGYAUACAUUAGUUAGGAUUGAGGAACUCAGCACGCCGCAAGGCCGAGUUUUUAACUACGUACGUGCUUAGGAUGC
rnacentral:rRNA from 1 species